rnacentral:lncRNA from 10 species
GAAACUUUUAUCAGGAUGUGUCUAGAUGUCUUGUUUUAUUCUUCUUUAGUACUUGCACCUUUUGUAAUGAAAAUUUCAGCCUUUUGUACUGUUCUUUUCUCUGCCAUGCAGAGCUGAGUGAAUAUUGGGUCUUCAGGAUAGAGAGACCAUGAGACGCUGGCAGCCAGAUUGCCUAGGAUGCCAGGUGCAGCUGGACAGCUGGUCAACCCUCUCCAGACUCACUUUCCUCCUCUGGAAAAGGCAGGUGAACAGCUCCUACCACAUAGUGCUGUUGGGAGACGAAAUAGGACACAACGGACAAAACAUUUAGGACAAUGUCUGGUAUGGAGGAAGUGGUCAAUACGGGAACUGUUUUUUCUGUAAUUCCUCGUGGGUAUCAGAGACGGAGGAAGAAGUGGGCUUUUGAGCAGGACUUUGAAGGUGGACAAGGUAAGACCUUCUCUGAGCCUCAAUCUCCCCACUGAAAAUGAUGGAGCUUGAUAGGUUUUUAGGUAAUAGUUCUCCUUUUUUUUUUUUUUAAAUUUCACACAGAGGAGUGGCUUCAUGGGAUAUAAUUUCUCACUCCUGAAUCUCAAGUCUUCCUUCCUCUUCCCUCUCUUCUUUUUUUCCAUGGUGUUUGGUCUUUCUGGUGAGUGUGACUUUGUUGAAGGUAGGACGCAGGAGUUGAAAGAAGCUUUUACUUUGCCAUAGA